AUCGGCAUUUAGGCUGCAUAGGACUAAUUUUGGAAGCUAAGCAGGGUUGGAACUGGUACUUGGAUGGGAGACUACCUGGGAAUACCAGGUGCUACAGUUA
rnacentral:rRNA from 1 species